rnacentral:rRNA from 1 species
GACGAACGCUGGCGGCAUGCCUAAUACAUGCGAGUCGAGCGAACAGAUGAAGUGCUUGCACUUCUGACGUUAGCGGCGAACGGGUGAGUAACACGUAAGGAAUCUACCUAUAAGCGGGGGAUAACGUUCGGAAACGGGUGCUAAUACCGCAUAAUAUCUUCUUCCGCAUGGAAGAAGAUUGAAAGACGGCUCUGCUGUCACUUAUAGAUGACCUUGCGGUGCAUUAGUUAGUUGGUGGGGUAAUGGCCUACCAAGACGAUGAUGCAUAGCCGACCUUAGAGGGUGAGCGGCCACAUUGGGACUGAGACACGGCCCAAACUCCUACGGGAGGCAGCAGUAGGGAAUCUUCCGCAAUGGGCGAAAGCCUGACGGAGCAAUGCCGCGUGAGUGAAGAAGGCCUUCGGGUCGUAAAACUCUGUUAUAAGAGAAGAACAAAUUGUAGAGUAACUGCUACAGUCUUGACGGUAUCUUAUCAGAAAGCCACGGCUAACUACGUGCCAGCCGCCGCGGUAA